GAUGAACGCUGGCGGCGUGCCUAAUACAUGCAAGUCGAGCGAACAGACGAGGAGCUUGCUCCUCUGACGUUAGCGGCGGACGGGUGAGUAACACUUGGAUAACCUACCUAUAAGACUGGGAUAACUUCGGGAAACCGGAGCUAAUACCGGAUAAUAUAUUGAACCGCAUGGUUCAAUAGUGAAAGACGGUCUUGCUGUCACUUAUAGAUGGCUCCGCGCCGCAUUAGCUAGUUGGUAAGGUAACGGCUUACCAAGGCGACGAUGCGUAGACGACCUGAGAGGGUGAUCGGCCACACUGGAACUGAGACACGGUCCAGACUCCUACGGGAGGCAGCAGUAGGGAAUCUUCCGCAAUGGGCGAAAGCCUGACGGAGCAACGCCGCGUGAGUGAUGAAGGUCUUCGGAUCGUAAAACUCUGUUAUUAGGGAAGAACAAAUGUGUAAGUAACUAUGCACGUCUUGACGGUACCUAAUCAGAAAGCCACGGCUAACUACGUG
rnacentral:rRNA from 1 species